AUGGUUAGAUGUCACUCAUGGCUUGUGGGUCCUUCUUGAUAAUUGAAUAAGUAGUCAUCAAAGAAGAAGGAGAAUUAAAAGUAAGUUUUAAUUCACUAAGUGAUUGGAUAAAUACAAAUCAAUUGGAUUGGUACCAAUCACCUCACUACCUCGCUAAUUAGAACAUAAAAUGAUUGUACACCCAUACACACUUGUGGUGAGACAACUAAAGGAUGAUGGAAUUAAUUAAUUGGAUUAAUUAAGUGCUAUGAUUAAUUAGAAAGUCUAAAGAAAUCAUAGAAGCGAUGAAAGAUCGUUUCAGGCUUAAAGAAAAAGUUCGGGUUCAUUCAGGCCUAUUGGACCGAAACCCAUUGGCCUUUUUUAUUCAAGCAUAGGAUGACAUGAAAUGAUAAAAACCCAAAGUCCAAACCAACACUAAGUGGCUGGCAAGGAUGAGGAAAGAAGAGAAAGAAAGGGUCAAUUAGUUGACUUACUUCUUUUACCUUUAUAAGGGGAGUUUAAUGAAAAAGUUUCAUUAGGGCAUUUGUGUGUUAUUUUUAACAAGAGAAAAAUAAGUCUUUCUCUCUCUCUCUCUACACACACGCAUAGACGACCACCAAGAGGAGAAAAUAGCUAAUCAUCUCUUCUCCUUUUAGUUAUUCCAACAUCCAUCUCACUAAACUAGUGGGUGUGAAUCUUUAGAGGUCUUCUAUACUUGGAGGCUUAAGAAGAACCAUGGAGCUCUAAAUCUUUAAGGUGGAGGAAGCAAGGAGGAGGCUAGACUCAAGGAGUUCAAAGAGCAAAGAGCUUGGAGGUGGUCCAUCAUUGGUCUAAAGUCUAGAUCAAGAGUUCCCAAAGUAUAAAGGAAGUGAAACAGUUAAUCUCAUCAAUCAAACACUCAUCUCUGCAGUUCGAAGAAGAAUCGAGGUCGACCAGAUUGUCGUCUCCUUCCUGUCCUUCCUAGUUCAAAGAAGAACCAAGGUAAAGGUGAGCAAAAGAUUAAGCGAUUUCAUCACUUUUGCAACAACAAAAAAAGAGAGGAAAAGAAGGUUAUCAUUUUUGCUUCUAGGGAGAUGCAAAGAAGGUUAUCCUCUGCUUCCAGGAAGGAUGCUCCCUUGUUUGUUGUGGGUGUGAACGAAAAGGAAUACAAGCCGAACAUCCACAUUCUUUUGGCGUACUCCAUUAUGGGUGUAACGGAGAGAGGAACUCUUUUUCCAAAAUAGAGAUUAGUAGUAAAAGUUUUCCCAAAAGAUUAGGUAAAUAAAUAACUCCUGCCCAAGUUUGAAUCUCUUUGUUGUUGUGGGUGCUUACUCAUUUUCAAUGCCAACAAUUGUGUAAUUUUACUUUUUUUUUUUUUUUUUUUGUUUCAAUUGUUCAUAGGGUAACAACAACAUGCUUAGAGUAUUUCACUUCAAAGGAUUCGUUUGGAGGUGUUCAAGAAAAAGUGAAGUCUUUCAAGUGAUGAUUUCCUUGUUAUUAGUGGCCUAUCUAGUGCUUCAUGUGUAGUGUGGUAUUUUGUAGUAAAAAUUAGUGGUGGUGUUGUUAGCUUUGUACAUCUUGUAAUAAAUUUGAGUAUAUGAUUAUUCAUGAAAUAUUGUAUUAUAGUAAAUCUGCAAAUUUGUUGAUCUUGUAUAUAUUUAAAUUAUUAUUUUUUUAAAUUUUGAUAAACUUUUUAUAACAGGCAUUCGCCAUGGUCAAUUAGUAAACCAUAAUUGUCAUAA